CACACAAACACAGUUGCUGUCGUUUCAGCAACGUACGCAAAACGACGUAAGCAAUUUCGUUUAAAAUCAGGCAGAAAAUGUUUUCUGGCAAUGGGGAAAAAAAGGGCUUAGUGACGUCACUGGUAGCCCGAAUUCUAAUUGGUUCAGGAGGCGAACUGGUCCAAGCGUCCGUCUGUUAUUUCGCGUGCGCCCGUGUGACAGACAGCCGCAACUUGUAACUCCUUGUCCUUCUGCGACACAACUUUGGAUACCGAGAAUGUAUCUACUCGUCGUCUUUGUUGCGGCUCUGCAAACACUCAACGUGACGCCUGCGCUACAUACGCUGCGUUAUUUCAUCACAGCGUCCUCUCAAAUCGCAAAUCUGCCAGAGUACUGGGAGGUCGCGUAUGUGGACGGCGUUCAGAUUUUGCAGUUUGACAGCAAGAGCUGGAAAAUGAAAGCCAAGCUGGACUGGGUGAACAAAAUCGCAGCAGAGGAUCCAGACUUGUGGCAGCGAGAGCUGUACGGCAGUCUCGACAAUGAGCAGGCGUUCAAAGUCGACCUUGAAAUCCUGAACGAGCGCUUCAACCAAACCGGAGGCGUUCACAUGAUGCAAAGGAUGUACGGCUGUGAAUGGGAUGACGAGACUGGUGAGGUGGAUGGUUGGAAUCAGCACAGGUAUGACGGAGAAGACUUCAUCUCAUUUGAGUGGAAAACGAUGAGAUGGAUCGCAGCCAAGCCACAAGCGUUCAUCACAAAGAACAAGUGGGAACGAUCGGACGGCUACAAAGAAUACAUUAGGAGAUACGUCACAGAGAUUUGUCCUGCUGCCUUGAAGACGUACGUGCGCAAUGGGCGGGACUUCCUGAUGAGAACAGAGCUUCCGACGGUGUUUCUCCUCCAGAAGACGCCUUCCUCUCCGGUCACCUGCUUGGCGACGGGUUUCUACCCCCCCGUAUGGGAUCUUUUCUGGAGGAAGGACGGCGAGCAGCUGUACGAGGACGUGGAGAUGGGCCAGACGCUGCCCAACCACGACGGAACCUUCCAGACCGCGGUCCACCUGAAAGUGGAGCCGGCGCCCGACGCGGAGGCCAAGUACGAAUGUGUGUUCCGGCUGGCCGGCGUCGAGGAAGCCAUCGUCGUCGAGUUGGACGACAAAAACAUCCUGAGCAACGCGCGCGACGCAGAAGAAGAGCGAGUCAAGAUGGUGGUGGCCAUCGCUGUCACGUCGGGGGUCCUGGCUGUGCUGGCGGCGGGGGUGGCGGCCUUUCUUAGGUUCCUUGCCAAGCGUCGCCGGAACACACAAGGUGAGGGACGCCAAGAUCUGCCCGAUACUCUGCAGCGCCCGUUUCCACCGUUUCCGAGCCCCUUGCCGAGUGAGACGCGGCGGCCAUCGCACGACGCCAAGAACACAAGUGGGCCCGCUGAGCACGUUCUCACUACACCGCCUUUGAAAACGCAGAAGUUUUUCUUUUUCAAGCGGACCAUGAGUGUGAUUUUGCUUCUGUUAAGUAGCGCUCAAAGGUUUCUGGUUUUGGGGGGUUUGUGAUUUCAUGUGGGAAUUGUUUUUUUUUUGGAGCAAUCAAUUGACGAAUUCAAGAACUGAAUGUCGUCAAGGUCGAGAGCACGAUAACGAUUCUUCCAUCACCGCUUUCGCUUGAGCAAACAACUCUGCCAAAGCGCGAAUUGAUCAGAAAGUCACGUGAACCAUAGCGCUCCUCGUCCGAACAUUUUGGAUCGAUCUCUCGAUCAGUGCCACAUAUGGAAAUGGCCACCGGGGUGCACUACUUGGCCGCGGCCAGCAGAGGCGCUGCAGGUUUGCCGUCUCGAGAGGUUGAGCGACAGCCCUGCCGGAAAGUGUCAUUCUCUGUCUGGUUUUGAUUGUGUUUGAGCGAAGGGCGUCGCCCUCCGACUUUGCUCGCUGUUGUAUCCUCGACCUUUCGCUCUCGUUUUGCCGUUGAACUUUGGAAGUAUAUUCAUGAUCGCUUUUUUAUUGAUCCUGAUCUUUGGUUUGGCGUAAUUGGACUUCUUCUCGCUGUUCCCUUGUACUUUGCCUUUUGUUUGAUGAAAUGUUUGUUUGCUUUUCCUGGCUCCUUGUGGCCAGCGAUUUCAGCCUGUACUUUUCUGCAAUAAAUAUUUUUGUUUUUGCA